rnacentral:rRNA from 1 species
AUUGAACGCUGGCGGCAUGCUUUACACAUGCAAGUCGAACGGCAGCGGGGAGGAGCUUGCUUCUCUGCCGGCGAGUGGCGAACGGGUGAGUAAUACAUCGGAACGUGUCGAGAAGAGGGGGAUAACCACCCGAAAGGGUGGCUAAUACCGCAUAAAUUCUGAGGAAGAAAGCUGGGGACCUAGGAAUAGGCCUAGCGCUUUUUGAGCGGCCGAUGUCGGAUUAGCUAGUUGGUGAGGUAAAGGCUCACCAAGGCGAAGAUCUGUAGCGGGUCUGAGAGGAUGAUCCGCCACACUGGGACUGAGACACGGCCCAGACUCCUACGGGAGGCAGCAGUGGGGAAUUUUGGACAAUGGGGGCAACCCUGAUCCAGCCAUGCCGCGUGUAUGAAGAAGGCCUUAGGGUUGUAAAGUACUUUUGUUAGGGAAGAAAAGUCAGCUGUGAAUAAUGGCUGAUACUGACGGUACCUAAAGAAUAAGCACCGUCUAACUACGUG